UUUUACAAAACAUGUCCUUUUGAAUAUUAAUAUAAGGUCUGACCUGCCCAAUGAUUAAUUAUUUAAUGGCCGCAGUAUCCUGACUGUGCGAAGGUAGCAUAAUCAUUUGUCCUUUAAUUGGGGACUUGUAUGAAUGGUUUGAUGAGGGAUAAUCUUUCUUUAGUAUAUAAGUAAUAACUUAAUCUAUAAGUUAAAAAGCUUAUAUAUUAUUAAGUGACGAGAAGACCCUAUAGAACUUUACUUUUAUUUAUAAAUAAUAUAUUUAUAUAAUUAUAUUAUUACUUAUAAAUAUAUGUUUUGUUGGGGUGACAAUUAAAUUUAAUUAACUUUAAUUUAUAUUUUAUCAUUAAUUUAUGAUUAAUAAUGAUCCUAUAUUAUGGAUUAUAAGAAUAAGUUACCUUAGGGAUAACAGCGUAAUUCUGUUGGAGAGUUCAUAUUAAUAACAGAGUUUGCGACCUCGAUGUUGGAUUAAAAUAAGUAUUAAGCGCAUAAGUUUAAUAACUAAGUCUGUUCGACUUUUAAUUUUUUACAUGAUUGGUUUUUU
rnacentral:rRNA from 1 species